UGGGGAAUAUUGCACAAUGGACGGAAGUUUGAUGCAGCGACGCCGCGUGGAGGGUGUAGGCCUUCGGGUUGUGAACUCCUUUUUCUCGCGAAAAAGGCACAGUUUUGGCUGUGUUGAUGGUAGUGGGGCAAGAAGCGCCGGCUAACUACGUGCCAGCAGCCGCGGUAAUACGUAGGGCGCGAGCGUUGUCCGGAUUUAUUGGGCGUAAAGAGCUCGUAGGUGGUUCGUCGCGUCUGUCGUGAAAGCCAGCAGCUUAACUGUUGGUCUGCGGUGGGUACGGGCGGGCUUGAGUGCGGUAGGGGUGACUGGAAUUCCUGGUGUAGCGGUGGAAUGCGCAGAUAUCAGGAGGAACACCGAUGGCGAAGGCAGGUCACUGGGCCGUUACUGACACUGAGGAGCGAAAGCGUGGGGAGCGAACAGG
rnacentral:rRNA from 1 species